rnacentral:rRNA from 1 species
GACGAACGCUGGCGGCGUGCUUAACACAUGCAAGUCGAACGGAAAGGCCCUGCUUUUGUGGGGUGCUCGAGUGGCGAACGGGUGAGUAACACGUGAGUAACCUGCCCUUGACUUUGGGAUAACUUCAGGAAACUGGGGCUAAUACCGGAUAGGAGCUCCUGCUGCAUGGUGGGGGUUGGAAAGUUUCGGCGGUUGGGGAUGGACUCGCGGCUUAUCAGCUUGUUGGUGGGGUAGUGGCUUACCAAGGCUUUGACGGGUAGCCGGCCUGAGAGGGUGACCGGCCACAUUGGGACUGAGAUACGGCCCCGACUCCUACGGGAGGCAGCAGUGGGGAAUAUUGCACAAUGGGCGGAAGCCUGAUGCAGCAAAGCCGCGUGCGGGAUGACGGCCUUCGGGUUGUAAACCGCUUUCGCCUGUGACGAAGCGUGAGUGACGGUAAUGGGUAAAGAAGCACCGGCUAACUACGUG